AAAGCAUAUAUUAAAGUUGUUGCAGUUAAAAAGCUCGUAGUUGAAUUUUAGGCUUGGUUGGACGGUCUGCCUUAGGGUUUGUACUGUCCUGGCUGGGUCUUACCUUCUGGUAAACUGUCGUGUCGUUUAUUCGGCGCGGCAGGGAACCAGGACUUUUACUUUGAAAAAAUUAGAGUGUUUAAAGCAGGCUUCUCGCUUGAAUACAUUAGCAUGGAAUAAUAGAAUAGGACUUUUGGUUCUAUUUUGUUGGUUUCUAGGACCGAAGUAAUGAUUAAUAGGGAUAGUUGGGGGCAUUAGUAUUUAAUUGUCAGAGGUGAAAUUCUUGGAUUUAUGAAAGACUAACUUCUG
rnacentral:rRNA from 1 species